CAGACAGGUGAGAGACAGCUGCUCAGACGCUCACUCUGCAGACAGACAGGUAAGAGACAGACAGGUGAGAGACAGCUGCUCAGACGCUCACUCUGCAGACAGUAGGUGAGAGACAGACAGGUAAGAGACAGACAGGUGAGAGACAGCAACCACACCUCAAACAGCACCGCCAUAGACAGGUGAGACAGCUGCUCAAACACUCCGCCUGCAGACAGUAGGUGAGAGACAGACAGGUAAGAGACAGACAGGUGAGAGACAGACAGGUGAGAGACAGCUGCUCAGACGCUCACUCUGCAGACAGUAGGUGAGAGACAGACAGGUAAGAGACAGCUGCUCAGACGCUCACUCUGCAGACAGACAGGUGAGAGACAGACAGGUAAGAGACAGACAGGUGAGAGACAGACAGGUAAGAGACAGACAGGUGAGAGACAGACAGGUAAGACAGCUGCUCCGACACUCCGCCUGCAGACAGUAGGUGAGAGACAGCUGUUCAGACGCUCAGCCUGCAGACAGACAGGUGAGAGACAGCUGC